rnacentral:ncRNA from 1 species
AAUAACGGAGAUGAUGUUCCUCCGAGACUUUGUCUGAACCGCUUUUAAGCUGAUGACUUCUGCGUUUA